GUGUUUGUAUGUUGAUGGAUCAAAACUUCUGAUACAAUUUAUGAACUAGAUACCUUAUUGACCAUUUAUUUAAAGUUUGAAGGUAUUUGGCCCAGUAGUUUCAGAGGAUAGGUUUUUGAAAUAGUUUUUGAAAUAGUUUAUGACGACAGACGCAAAGUGAUGACAAAAGUUCACAUGGUGCACUUCUGCCUCAGUCACUUUAAAAGGGGGGAUGAAUGGAGUGACUUUUAUUUACUGUUCCUUCAGAGUGAUUUCAAUAGAACACUGGUAGAAGUGAUUUCUGAUUAGAAACCCCUCCCCUGUUAGAAAUCCAAUAUCAGAAUAUUAAUCUUUAUUUAAUGACUAGGACUAAUCAUUGAUUCAACUCUGUAACAUAAUUUAGUCUUUUUGAGGGUU
rnacentral:lncRNA from 1 species